UUAACCUCUUUUUAUUUUAUUUCAUAGGAAAGAAGAAUUUUGUUGUUCAAAUGAUAUUACAGAAGGAAAUUCCUAUUGAAGUAGAAAAGUAUUUUCCAAUGAGUUGUAAGAGACAGCUUAGCUUAGACUAUAAUCACAAAAUGGUGAUGAUGGUACACCAAGAGUGCUGAAAGUAAUGUAUGAAAUCGAAGUGUCAAUAUCUCAAAUGGCUUUCAAAAGAAUCUUGAGGUGGCCUUCAAUGCUUUCAUUGAUAACUCUGGUUCAGUUGAUACCCCCUCUGAAAAUUGGGAUGUAUACCUGGUCUAACCUUAGGGAGAAUCCUGCAACAAUUCAUAUUGACAGGAAAUCAGAGGUGGGGUCCUCUUCAGAAAUUACCAGAAGCGUGAUGGGAUUUAAUGCUUGGACUAUUGUAGCUUCAACCCUCUAACGUAAUUUUAUAAGGCACUGUAGAGGCAUGAUAGAGGAGGUCCUUUCGUACUACUGUUGAGAAGGGAAGGGAAAGUUUUGGUAGAUCAUUUUCUCCCCCCUGGUCCUGGUCUUCCAUUGGCAUCGAGGAACAUAGAAAUUUUUGUGCCAUAUACACUGUUUGAUCAAUUUUAUCCAUCUAUUUCCAGACCCUUUUAGUUUCAAUUUUUCAAUGAAUAAAUUCCAUUCCAUUUCAUCCCAUCAGGGGCUUUUCCUAGAACCAAGUCAACUACCAUGCUGUCAUUCUUCUAUUUCUAUAAUCUUCCACCACUUCGUUUUUCUACUAAAAGUUAGGUCUAUGAUUUGUCUUCCUUUGAUAAAAGCAUUUUGACUUGCAAAAUUGUAGCUAGUAAUAGUGCUUUUAAUCUUUGUGCCAUUACGUUUGCUAUUAUUUUGUCCACAUAUGCCAUUGAAUUUACGGGUCUGUAGUCUUUAAUUCGUUCUUCCUUCUCCUUUUUAACUUUAUCUUGCAAUGUAUAUAGAAAUUGAUUCCUCAUCCACGUGUCUCUGAUUUAUUGUUGAAAUUUAAGGUGCUCCAAUAAAAACUUGGUUC